GACGAACGCUGGCGGCGUGCCUAAUACAUGCAAGUCGAGCGGAUUAGAUAGAAAGCUUGCUUUCAAUCUGGUUAGCGGCGGACGGGUGAGUAACACGUAGGCAACCUGCCUAUAAGACUGGGAUAACAUUCGGAAACGAAUGCUAAUACCAGAUACGCGAUUUCCUCGCAUGGGGAGAUCGGGAAAGACGGAGCAAUCUGUAACUUGCAGAUGGGCCGGCGGCGCAUUAGCUAGUGGGUGGGGUAACGGCCUACCAAGGCGAAGAUGCGUAGCCGAGCUAGGAGCGGGAUCGGCCACACUGGGACUGAAACACGGCCCAGACUCCUACGGGAGGCAGCAGUAGGGAAUCUUCCGCAAUGGACGAAAGUCUGACGGAGCAACGCCGCGGUAGUGAUGGAGGCUUUCGGGUCGUAAAGCUCUGUUGCCAGGGAAGAACACUUGGGAGAGUAACUGCUCUUAGGUGACGGUACCUGAGAAGAAAGCCCCGGCUAACUACGUGCCAGCCGCCGCGGUAAGAC
rnacentral:rRNA from 1 species